rnacentral:rRNA from 1 species
UACGUAGGGUGCAAGCGUUGUCCGGAAUUAUUGGGCGUAAAGAGCUCGUAGGCGGUUUGUCGCGUCUGCUGUGAAAACCCAGGGCUCAACCCUGGGCUUGCAGUGGAUACGGGCAGACUAGAGGUAGGUAGGGGAGAAUGGAAUUCCCGGUGUAGCGGUGAAAUGCGCAGAUAUCGGGAGGAACACCGGUGGCGAAGGCGGUUCUCUGGGCCUUACCUGACGCUGAGGAGCGAAAGCGUGGGGAGCGAACAGG